GCCAGCUUCCGGAAGCGGGGCCCCCAGUCCGUGAGGAAGUCGAAGCUCUGCUCCGAGUCCGACGUGGCCGACUGCAGGGAGCUGAGCGAGCCGGCGACCGAGCCGUCGCCCUCGAACAUGAUUCUACUCUAAAUAUACUGUUGACCCUUGAGCAACAUGGAUUUGAACUACUGGAGUCCACUUCGAUGUUCAUUUUUUUUUUCCCGCUGGUGAACAGUGACAGCUUGACAACACUGCACAAUAAGACCCCGGUUUAUCCAAGGGAAGGAAGAGUCAUAUGCCCAUUAAGAUUAUGGACUGACUUAAAGAAAUCACGUGAUUUAAAGUCUCCUGGCUCUUUGAAGAUUUGAAUUUAUCUUAGAAAAAAAGCACCGGUUGGCUUCUGACAGUCUUUUCCUCCAGCUCCCCCAACACGAGAAGAGCCAGCCGUUCACCCACAGAGCCGGAGCCCUGCUGGCAGCUCGCCCAGCGGCCGGCGGACCACCGAGCGGGGAGGCAGCCUGUCAGGAAGCCGCUGUCCGCACGCACACCCGCGGGGCCGCCGCGAGGCCACAGACGGCAGGGGACGCGGGGUGAUGGAACAGCCGACGGACAGGACGCCUGACCGCCUGCCGACGCUGCGGAGACGCGGCGGGCCGCCCCAGAGCGCCGCCCUCGGCAGGCAGGCGGGUUCCCGAGCGGGGCCUGCACUGAGGCAGGGAUAGCGUUCAUCACUCGGAGUGGGACACUGGGCCGAUUUUCAGGAGCCAGGAGGACAAAUUUAAAGGUGGAGAUACAGAUGGAAAAUGAGGAAAUUGGGAGACGCUGGCGAAUUAUGUGGGUGGCUUUCCUUUCUUUAACUAGAAUACUCUCAGCUGCUGUGGGCCGAACAGGCGUGACAUAUCCACACACGACUGCCCUCAGCGAACAAUGCUGGUGUUCACUGAGCUCCCUGCUUGUUCACUUGGCUGAGGACAUUCUCUGAAUUUAGGAGUGAUUUGAAAGCAGAGUUUCAUGGACAGGAUCCCAAAAUCCACACACACACUCCGGGAAAGCACAGAGGGGCCGGCUGUUUGCAUACCAGCAGAAGCCUGUUUCAAUUGCUGAAUGGUUCCUGCUUGCUAGAAAUUCCUCAAGCAUUUAUUAAAAAUUUAGGUGAUCCA